ACCCGGUACUGAACCCGGCCGGUCCGGCUCUAUCGUCUCGUGUUCAGCCGUCGUGCUGGCCUCUGCCUCCGCCUUCGACGUUGAGUGUUGCACCGUCUACUCUACUGCUAAGUCUGCUCUCUGCGGCGUUUCGUCGUUUGCGCGGACGUCCGUUGACUCCGUGGAGGCGAGCGGACGAGGUUGCGGAGACUUCUUUCGUCGUCGUCGUCGUCGCGACCCACGUGAUUCUCCUAGCUCGCCUUUCUUCUGUGACUGAGUUUCUUCGUUCUUCCGCAACUCUCGAACCGCCGUACAGUCCGUACAGCCGCCGACAGUGACGUUGACAUAGCCGGCAGACACGCUGGCACCGCCACAAGUAUUGCUACCGGCACUAGUCCGCUACGGCGGUGCACUCCUUCUUUUACGUGUUCUUCUAGCACUGGUUCUAGUACCUCCUCUAUUCAUCCUCCUUGGCCCUGGCCGCUCGUCGGGGCCUGCUGCCGCGGCCGCACCUGCUGCACCAGUAGCUCUAACCAGGCCACCUCUUCAAAGAGGUGCUCUAGAACUUGCUCUUCGGCUACGCUAAGUCGAGGCCCGUCGACCGCAGCACGUGGCCCUUGAUGAGGUGGCUCGAGCCGAGGCCGCCGAAGCCCCACCAGAUGUUCCCCCUCGAAGGGUUGCCCGACGGGCACCGCCACUUCCAAGAGUUCCACAGGUACUUGUUCUUCCACGCCCUCCCCAAGUACCGCCUCUAGCCGUGGUAGCCGGCCUGGAUGGUGCACGUGGAGCAGUCCGAGAUGCCGAAGACGAAGCUGGGCCUGUGGUUCCGCGAGCAGAUGCUCAUGGAGCUCUUGCCUAGCGACCUCUUCAUGGAGAUGGCGCUGCCCCUUCAGCUGCCGCUGUCGCUGCCGCCCCUCCUCUCCUCCCUCUCCGAGCUCACCGCCUGCGACGUGUUGUAGCGGCAGCCGUGCCGGUUCCCCUAGGCCAUAGACGUGCUCCUCACGGUCGUGUCCUAGCACGUGAUGCUGUAGUUCGGCGGGUUGUAGGAGGAGUGGCGGCUGAAGUGGGGGUUCCACCGGCUGAAGCCCGACCGGGCCGACCCGCUCGCGCUCUUGUGCGUGUACAGCAGCGAGUGCCCGCCGCCCGCGCCCUGCGGCCCCAUGCGGCGCGGCCUCGACACCUACCGCGACGGCUGCUGUCUCUUCACGCUGCAAAUGUCGAAGCCGUACCACGACAAACUCUAGGAUCCCGUCGCGGCCUUAAUGCUGCGGGCCGACCUCCUGCUCUCGGCGCUCACCAAGGGGUUCACCCACACCCUGUUCAUGCUCGUUCCCCUGUACCUCACGUAGCACAGACGCCGGCGGCCGUAGCCCCUCCGACUGGCCCUCUUCCGCCUCUGGUACACAUUCCACCGCGAUACCACGCAGGUUAAGGUCGGCAGCCGCGCCGGCUGCUACUCGUCGCAUCACGCCUACGACCUCCCCCUCUACCGGUAGCACGGCGGCCACUUGGGCAAGGUGAUGCACAGCUCGCCGCCGUCGAGGUCGCCGACCCGCAACAGCUCGCCGUGGCCGUGCAUGUGCUCGUCGUCGGCCCUGUUCCCCUCCCUGUCGCUCCAGAGCCGUCGUUCGCGAGGACGAGGAUUCGGCUCGCAACGUUACCACUUCGUUCAGGUAACUAGGUCACUGCCGUAUCCCACUUCGAGGUGUGCCUCAGAACGAGACAAAGGUCAAAUGUGUUCAUCCUUUACAAAAAAGAGUGUUUUUUCAUUCUUUACAAAACAUUUAAUCG
rnacentral:rRNA from 1 species